GGGGGCGCAUCGGCUUCGACGGAGACGCUGAGGCCCGGGUUGCAUGCCGAGUUCGUCACCACGCUCGAUAAAAAGGUGGCAUAAACAUAACUGCUGACACGCAGCUAGCACUGGCCGCUUAAACGCGGUCACGUCUCCGGAGAGCCCCUCCCGCGGGAUCUCCGAUAGACGCCGAUAAAGCGGGAUAGCCGGUACGACCUGCCCGGUAACGGCCGGCGAAAUCCUAAUGGGCUGGCGGCCCGCUGGCUUGUCCGUUCUUGCGGCGGGAGGCGACAGCACCGAACGGACUAAGCAUGUAGAAGCCCGAGGCGGAUCGCCACCGGACGCGGGUUCGAUUCCCGCCGCCUCCACCA
rnacentral:tmRNA from 1 species